rnacentral:lncRNA from 10 species
CCAGAUUCCAACAAGUUGACAAACGGUGCAAAUGUCAGAGAUUAAAAUAUCUCCUUCAUUGCUGAUAAGGCUGAGUUGGCGAAUUCUUCUUGGAUCCAAUACAAAAAUGAGAUUGUUUCCAUUUCUCACCUGAAUUAAACUUACAGGGCAGAGGUGACCUGCUUAGUGAGCAGGCCACGUUCAGCAAUAGCAGAUCAAAGACCCGUAUGUCUUGUGAUCUUCAUGAAGUGGCUGGCAAGGCCAGAGAUUCUGAUCCCAUCACCACGUGUUAAUCUCCUGUCAAGAGAAAUAAGGAGCUACUGAGAGAAAAGCAGAUCCUGACUCCCCUCUACUUGUGAGUGACUACAAAAUCCUAUUUUGUGGCGUGAGGCAGGAGCCUAGAGAGAUUGGAGAAAAAAGCUGCUCCUCUAGAAUAUGAAAAUACCGUUUAAAGGGAAAGAGAUUAAUUAGUGAUUGAGCGCAUUCAGUGCUGUCUCUCCUCCUAUUUAUCUGGCUGCCUGUUGUCUGCAUGGCCUCCUGCUACUCAUUGUGGGUAACAUCGGAGACCUUCAUCUGCAGGAAGAUAGAAAAAGGCACUAGGUCCUGAAUACACAGAGCACAGUAAAAUAUGGUCUCUCUCUGCUUUACAGGGGCUUAUGAUCAGGCAAAGGAGACACCAGGAAAGAGGAGCAGAGUGGCUAGGGCAGUGCACUGCAGAUGCAUGGACGAAAGCUCGCAGCGACACAGGUAUGGGGUGUCUAAUCAGGGAUGAGUGUGAGCAGCAGAAUGAGGAGCAUGCUUUCCCAGAGGAAGAGAGGAAGCCACUGGAGAGAUGAAGGAUGCCAUGGACAGGUAAAAGAGUGU